UACGUAGGGUGCAAGCGUUGUCCGGAAUUAUUGGGCGUAAAGAGCGUGUAGGCGGCCCGAUUAGUCCGCUGUGAAAGUCCAGGGCUCAACCCUGGAAUGCCGGUGGAUACUGUCGGGCUAGAGUCCGGAAGGGGCGAGUGGAAUUCCUGGUGUAGCGGUGAAAUGCGCAGAUAUCGGGAAGAAUAUCCGUGGCGAAGGCGGCUCUCUGGUACGGCACUGACGCUGAGACGCGAAAGCGUGGGGAGCAAACAGG
rnacentral:rRNA from 1 species